rnacentral:rRNA from 1 species
AGGACGAACGCUGGCGGCGUGCUUAACACAUGCAAGUCGAGCGGAAAGGCCCUUCGGGGUACUCGAGCGGCGAACGGGUGAGUAACACGUGAGCAACCUGCCCUUAGCUUCGGGAUAGCUCCGGGAAACCGGAAUUAAUACCGAAUAUGACUUUGGCUGACAUCAGCAGAAGUGGAAAGUUUUUCGGCUAGGGAUGGACUCGCGGCCUAUCAGCUAGUUGGUGAGGUAACGGCCACCAAGGCGACGACGGGUAGCC